rnacentral:rRNA from 1 species
CAGCAGCCACGGGAAUACGGAGGGAGCUAGCGUUGUUCGGAAUUACUGGGCGUAAAGCGCGCGUAGGCGGUUACUCAAGUCAGAGGUGAAAGCCCGGGGCUCAACCCCGGAACUGCCUUCGAAACUAGGUGACUAGAAUCUUGGAGAGGUCAGUGGAAUUCCGAGUGUAGAGGUGAAAUUCGUAGAUAUUCGGAAGAACACCAGUGGCGAAGGCGACUGACUGGACAAGUAUUGACGCUGAGGAGCGAAAGCAUGGGGAGCGAACAGGAUUAGAACCCCCGUAGUCCCUGUCUCUUAUACA